rnacentral:rRNA from 1 species
CCUACGGGUGGCAGCAGUAGGGAAUAUUGCUCAAUGGGGGAAACCCGGAAGCAGCAACGCCGCGUGGAGGAGGAAGGUUUUAGGAUUGUAAACUCCUUUUGUUAGAGAAGAGAAUGACGGUAUCUAACGAAUAAGCACCGGCUAACUCCGUGCCAGCAGCCGCGGUAAUAAGGAGGGUGCAAGAGUUACUCGGAAUCACUGGGCGUAACGAGCGCGGAGGCGGGAUAGCAAGUCAGAUGUGAUAUCCUAUGGCUUAACCAUAGAACUGCAUUUGAAACUGUUAUUCUAGAGUAUGGGAGAGGUAGUUGGAAUUCUUGGUGUCGGGGUCACAUCCGUAGAGCUCAAGCGGACUACUCAUUGCGAAGGCGACCUGCUAGAACAUAACUGACGCUGCUGCGCG